AAAUACAAGAAUCACAUUGAUUACAAAACAGACUAUGACGGAUAUAAAAAAGGACAUAGGGAUCAUAUAUUUGAACUUGGAUUGCCUUCAGCUGGUGAGCGAAGAGGAAGAGGGCGACUAGAUUCCAGGACAAUGAGAGCGGGUGAUCUGGGUCUGCGAUCAAGUCCUUCUAGCAGAACUUUUUCUUCAGAUGUCAUUUAUGAUCCAAUGGAACCAAGAGGAUUUCGUUCACAGGAUGCAGGAGGUCUGAUUGACCUAGGACCCUUUUCUGGACGAUUAAGGAGACCAAAUUAUGAUAUCGGUCAUCAUAAUUCUAAAGAUUACAAAGAAUACAAGGAUGGCGUGCAUAUUCCGGGAAAGCAUAAAGGUGGAUAUCAUAUUGAUGAAUAUGACAGUAUGAAUUAUAAGAAGAAAGACUACGGUGAAAAUAAAUACAAAACGAAGCCUAAAGACCUUUAUAAGACCAAGAAACCAACUGAUCAUAACAAAUACAAAACCAAAAAGAAGACCUACUAAACGGGUGAAGGGCACAAAAAUAGACAAGGAAAGACCAGCCAGUCAAACUCCAGGGAGUUUUACACUUUCUGUCUUUACUUGAGUUCUCAAUAAAAUGUUUUCAUAUACCGAUA